ACCUUUAGCUCAGUUGGUUAGAGCAAUCGGCUCAUAACCGAUCGGUCAUAGGUUCGAGUCCUAUAAGGUCC
rnacentral:tRNA from 1 species